CUACGGGGUGCAGCAGUGGGGAAUAUUGCACAAUGGGCGCAAGCCUGAUGCAGCCAUGCCGCGUGUAUGAAGAAGGCCUUCGGGUUGUAAAGUACUUUCAGCGGGGAGGAAGGGAGUAAAGUUAAUACCUUUGCUCAUUGACGUUACCCGCAGAAGAAGCACCGGCUAACUCCGUGCCAGCAGCCGCGGUAAUGACGGAGGGUGCAAGCGUUAAUCGGAAUUACUGGGCGUAAAGCGCACGCAGGCGGUUUGUUAAGUCAGAUGUGAAAUCCCCGGGCUCAACCUGGGAACUGCAUCUGAUACUGGCAAGCUUGAGUCUCGUAGAGGGGGGUAGAAUUCCAGGUGUAGCGGUGAAAUGCGUAGAGAUCUGGAGGAAUACCGGUGGCGAAGGCGGCCCCCUGGACGAAGACUGACGCUCAGGUGCGAAAGCGUGGGGAGCAAACAGGAUUAGAUACCCGGGUAAUC
rnacentral:rRNA from 1 species